rnacentral:rRNA from 1 species
CGCUCUUUGUAAUAAUAAUUAAGAUAAAGAGUCGGACCUGCCCAGUGACGUAGUGUUAAACGGCCGCGGUACUCUGACCGUGCAAAGGUAGCAUAAUCAUUUGCCUUUUAAUUGGGGGCUUGUAUGAAUGGUUUGACGAGAGCUAAGCUGUCUCCUUUUUAAAUAUUUAGAAAUUAAUUUGUAGGUGAAGAGGCCUACAUACAUUUGAGGGACAAGAAGACCCUGUUGAGUUUAAGUGUAACUAGAAAUUAAUUGUUGCUUGUGAUGUUAUAUCAUAAGUAGUAAGAGUUGUAUAUAUAUAGAUUAGAUUUUUUUUUAAUCUUUAGUUGGGGCGACUAAGGAGCAUAAAGAGCUUCCUUUAAUAGAUCAUGGCUGGCGGGUUAGUUUGAUCCAAUUUUUAUUGAUUAAAGGAAAAAAUUACCACAGGGAUAACAGCGUAAUCUUUUUGGAGAGUUCAUAUCGAAGAAAGGGUUUGCGACCUCGAUGUUGGACUAAGAUAUCCUAGGGGUGUAGAAGCUCCUGAAGGUUGGUCUGUUCGACCAUUAAAAUCUU